rnacentral:rRNA from 1 species
AAACGCUGGCGGCGUGCCUAAUACAUGCAAGUCGAGCGAACAGACGAGGAGCUUGCUCCUCUGACGUUAGCGGCGGACGGGUGAGUAACACGUGGAUAACCUACCUAUAAGACUGGGAUAACUUCGGGAAACCGGAGCUAAUACCGGAUAAUAUAUUGAACCGCAUGGUUCAAUAGUGAAAGACGGUUUUGCUGUCACUUAUAGAUGGAUCCGCGCCGCAUUAGCUAGUUGGUAAGGUAACGGCUUACCAAGGCAACGAUGCGUAGCCGACCUGAGAGGGUGAUCGGCCACACUGGAACUGAGACACGGUCCAGACUCCUACGGGAGGCAGCAGUAGGGAAUCUUCCGCAAUGGGCGAAAGCCUGACGGAGCAACGCCGCGUGAGUGAUGAAGGUCUUCGGAUCGUAAAACUCUGUUAUUAGGGAAGAACAAAUGUGUAAGUAACUAUGCACGUCUUGACGGUACCUAAUCAGAAAGCCACG